rnacentral:rRNA from 1 species
GCAGUAGCCGCGGGAAUACGUAGGGUGCAAGCGUUAAUCGGAAUUACUGGGCGUAAAGCGUGCGCAGGCGGUUUGUUAAGACAGAUGUGAAAUCCCCGGGCUCAACCUGGGAACUGCAUUUGUGACUGGCAAGCUAGAGUCUGGCAGAGGGGGGUGGAAUUCCGCGUGUAGCAGUGAAAUGCGUAGAUAUGCGGAGGAACACCGAUGGCGAAGGCAGCCCCCUGGGCCAACACUGACGCUCAUGCACGAAAGCGUGGGGAGCAAACAGGAUUAGAUACCCCCGUAGUCCCUGUCUCUUAUAC